AUUUAAAUAGUUUAUAAAAAUAUUGAUUUGUGAUAUCAAAGAUAAAAAUUAUUUUUUUUUAAAUU
rnacentral:tRNA from 1 species